CCCCUUCAGGUGCGAUCGCUUCACCUAUGGGCUUGACGGGAAAAUUCAAAAUCGCGAACCGUUACAGCCUGGACGGUGUCUUUGUUUGCUUGCACAUCAACAGUAAGAGGUCAUGUACACUGUGGUCAACUUUGUGGACGCUGAAGAGGUUUCUGGGUAAAGAUGAUAGAAAUAUAAUGAAGUAACAGUGGAAGCUAAAACAUCAGACUGAUCCAGACACUGAAGAAAUUGAUGUCACUGCAAUCUGGCCAAAAUGAUACAACAAUGUUGAAGUAGCCUACUGUAAUGAAGCUGCAGAACGUCACAGAGACUCUGAGGACAUCAACACAGAAAAUCAAGGCUCCAAAGAGAUGUCUGUCCAGAUGAGGGUGCAUCAACGUUACCUUUGCUGACAAGUAUAUGCUUUAGCAGUUAACUUAACUCAAACCAUUUAAGGAAAUCGGUUGCCUUAAACCAUUAAGUUUUAAAAAACAUACAUUUGAGUACUUUGAACUAAAGUCUUGUGCAAUUAUGCACUUAUAUUUAGGUAGCGUGAACUUAAACAAAUUGAGUCACAUGCAGUUAAGCACUUAUAUUUAAGUUCACAGUACUCAAAUCUAUGUGUUUUAAAACUUGAAUGGUUUAAUGCAACCGGUUUUCUUAAAUGUGAGAAAUUACAGUGUUACAAUGAGAAAUGUUUGAAUAAUUCCAAGACAGAGCUCUGUGAUUAAUUCUACACUGCAAAAAAUCACUUUCUAACACUUUUUAUCUUGUUUUCAGUAGAAAAACUAAAAAUUCUUAAAUCAAGAUGUAUUUUCUUGAUGAGCAAAAUUACCUUAGAAAAUAUGUCUAGUUUUUAGACAAAAAUAUACAAUUUAAGAUAAUUUGUGCCUAAACAAGCAAAAAUAUCUAACAUUGGGGUGAGAAAUUUGUGUUUUAAUUAAGUUUUUAAGAUAAAAGAAAACUUAAGAUUUUUUUUCUCACACUAUUGGAAGAUAUUUUUGCUUGUUUUAAGCACAAUUUCACUUAAUGUAUGUGUGUGUAUUUUAUUUAUUUAUUUUGUCUAAAACUAGACUUAUUUUCUUGGGUCAUUUUGUUCCUCAAGAACAAGCAUUUUAAUUUAAAUAAUAUUUGUACUGAAAAGAAGACAAAAAUACUAUGUAAGAAAGUCAUUUUUUGCAGUGUAGGACUGAUUUCUUAAGAGCAAGAUCAAUAUAGUUGUUGUUCAUUUUAUUUAGAUAUUUACUACAUUACAGUGGCAGCUGGUGACUUCUUUUUUUUUUGUGAGCACUCGAUGCGAAGUUUGUCACAACAUGUAUAUAGCCCGUCAUUUGUGUGGUUCUCAAUUUCAAAAUAUGUGUUCUGCGUGUAUGUGUAUCACGUGUUUUGACUAAACACGUGAUGCACGUGGUUUACAUGAAGCAACAAACACAUAUUUUAAAAACACAAGCAACACACAUGACACUCCGAACACUUAUUUUGAAUUUGCAACCCUCGGAUGAGCAGUCACGAGCCGCCACUGCUACAUUACAUUGUACUGCUUUGAAUGUAGUUCUCAUUGUUGCUUUUAUUUUGUUUUAUUUUACUCUAAUAUUGCUUUCUCUGUCUGUAUAUUUAUGAGUUUAAAUUGUAUUGUUUAUGUAUGCAACUUUUAAUAUUUGUGUAUUUUAUUA